AUUGAACGCUGGCGGCAUGCUUUACACAUGCAAGUCGAACGGUAACAGGUUAAGCUGACGAGUGGCGAACGGGUGAGUAAUGCAUCGGAACGUGCCCGAUCGUGGGGGAUAACGCAGCGAAAGCUGCGCUAAUACCGCAUACGAUCUGAGGAUGAAAGCGGGGGACCGUAAGGCCUCGCGCGAUCGGAGCGGCCGAUGUCAGAUUAGGUAGUUGGUGGGGUAAAGGCUCACCAAGCCAACGAUCUGUAGCUGGUCUGAGAGGACGACCAGCCACACUGGGACUGGGACACGGCCCAGACUCAUACGGGAGGCAGCAGUGGGGAAUUUUGGACAAUGGGCGAAAGCCUGAUCCAGCAAUGCCGCGUGCAGGAAGAAGGCCUUCGGGUUGUAAACUGCUUUUGUACGGAGCGAAAAGGUCUCCUCUAAUACAGGGGGCUCAUGACGGUACCGUAAGAAUAAGCACCGGCUAACUACGUGCCAGCAGCCGCCGUAA
rnacentral:rRNA from 1 species